GGCAUCAUAAAACACAUCCCAGGGAGAAGUUAAACACAAUUGGGAAAACAUAUUUGUCACAGUCCAAAGACUGAAAGAGCAAGAAGCUUGGAGACCUUCCGGAUGCAGAUGAAAGGAGUUGUCUCUGUUAUCUUCUUUAUCUUCCUCAGAAGCCACCUUGUAUGUCAGACAGAAAAGUGCCAGGCCCUGCACAGGGGAGUUGCAGAGGCCUAAAUGUUUCUGGCGGAGUCAGAGGUCGCAGCAGAGCACCCAACUGGAAUGUCAUACUUGUGAUUUUCCUUGUAUAAUGAAGUCAAACACUACUUGCCAAGCUCAAGAGGUCUGUGUGACAAAGGCGGGGGCAUUCGCUGGUUUUCCAUGUCAUAAACGAGGAUGUACGAACAGCGCGGUGUGUGACACGGAGACCACGGAGGUUAUUAUGGGUACCCCCAUCACAGUUAUGAAUCAAUGCUGUAAAACUAACCUGUGCAACUCUGCGGUUCACCUGGAGGUCCCUACUUUCUCCAUCCUGGCAGUGUGCAUAUCCAAACUGUGCUAAAUGGGUGGAUGGCUGACACCUGCGCGGCACCUGCUCUGUUGUCGGGAUGUUUUCUUGUCUCUUUAAAUCGCAUUUAUGUAAAUAACCCUCUAACAGCACCAAAUAUUUUUCUUAGAUAACGUCUACAGGUUGACUCUCAAUAAAAUAAUAUUUUUAUCCUAU